rnacentral:lncRNA from 1 species
UUUCUUAUUUGUUAUUUCCGAGUGUUGUUUUCGCCCGCCAAGCUGCUUGUAUAUAAGGGUUUGUCUAGUAGUAGCUUGGCCCCAGGCAUCUAAUAUUCAUUUACUGCCCAGCAGGCUUAGGCUACUUACUUGCUAUUCGCUCUGGCACUGCCGAUCUCAAAACUCCUUAGCCUUAGCUCUUGUUUGAGUAUGCUACUUCUUCCCGAAAGUCUAUUUGGUUAUUUGCGUUAAGUGACUUAGGGUAAUGAACCAUUGAACAAAGAAUUGAGUUAGUAAUAACAAGAGCGGAAGGACGUUUUUCACAUAGAAGAGAAAAUGAUGUGAAAUGAGAAGAUGUUAGUUGGUUGUUUCGAGCUAGUUACCGCUGACAUAAAAGAAAGGUAUAUGCAUAACACAUGCAAGUAGGACAGGGAGUCUAAUUCAAGCAAGAAAAGUGUAUGGUGCUACAAUAAAGCUUGUCUUUCCGUACAAUGGAUGUCACUGGCACUUUUCAAGGUCGAGUCAGAAGCCCUUUUCGAAUGCCUCUUUUUGUGCUCUUUCUUGAAUACAUGGAAUUCGAUGCUUGACUUCUUUCACUAGGGGACCUCUUACAAAGAAACGUCAGCCAGCGUGGAAGCCCCCAAUACUUGAAAACUACGCAUCCACUGACACUAGGAUCGUCAAAAGUGAAGAAAGCUUCUUUUCCUGCUGGUCAAAGUUAGGAGCUGCAGAAUGACUUAUUGCUUCCUGUUCAUGUGCAUAUAGAAGGAUCCUUGUGUGCUGGUAUCAACCGAGAAAGAAACGAUGACUCGAAACCUUAAGCGAGCUCUUCUCAGACAACUGUCGAACUUUUGCCUUUUAUCGCUGCAAGUAAAGUUCUGCGCUAAACCAAAUGAAGACAUCUGUGCCAUGAUCAAGAACAACAUACAUGAGAAAAAGCUUCACCGAUUGCUCCUAAGAUUGCUAAUGAUUAUUCUUUUUUUCACAAGGCAACAAUCUUUAUGCCAGCGUUCCUAGCCUUGAAUCCGCGGAAACAACCUGCGCUUUGGAUCCGUUUACCUGAGCUCCCUAUUUAGUACUUCGACAGUUCUCCAAAUAUGGGGACCUUCGAUACUUAGUUAUGAUGAAGAUUAAGUCGCAGACCAUAAGAUAAGAUAAGGGGAUGAAAGGAAGUAGAAAGACCAUAAGAUCAGGAAAGGAAAUUAGAGAAUGGAAUUGACCACGAAAAAGGGCUAAGUCAUCACUAAAAAGGAUUACUUGGUUGCAGAUGCCAUAGAACGGGUUGAAGCUAAGAUGUUUGGCUCCAAAGAAAGUGCACCGAUCACACGAAAACGUACUGAUUGUCCGAAAGCUUUUAGGCAAAGACAUCUAGAUACAGGACUUGCUCAUAACUUCGUUAUUCGUUGCUGCCGCGCAACGUGAGUAGUUGCUUGGCCUGAUCAUCCGAAAUAUCGGUUCACUUUUGGGAAGGUUCCCGAAUUGACUAGCGGCUCUGCCGCGACACAUUAGUAGUGUCUUGGCGGGUCUAGUGCUUGUGUUAAGCAAGUAGUAAAUCUAUCUCCUCCGUAGUCUUUU